GAUGAAGAACGCAGCGAAAUGCGAUAACUAAUGUGAAUUGCAGAAUUCAGUGAAUCAUCGAGUCUUUGAACGCACAUUGCGCCCCCUGGUAUUCCGGGGGGCAUGCCUGUCCGAGCGUCAUUGCUGCCCUCAAGCACGGCUUGUGUGUUGGGCUCGGUCCCCCCGGGGACGGGCCCGAAAGGCAGCGGCGGCACCGAGUCCGGUCCUCGAGCGUAUGGGGCUUUGUCACCCGCUCUGUAGGCCCGGCCGGCGCCAGCCGACAACCCAUCAUCCUUUUCAGGUUGACCUCGGAUCAGGUAGGGAUACCCGCUGAACUUAAGCAUAUCAAUAAGCGGAGGA
rnacentral:misc_RNA from 1 species